rnacentral:rRNA from 1 species
UACAGAGGUCUCAAGCGUUUGUUCGGAUUCAUUGGGCGUAAAGGGUGCGUAGGUGGCGCCAUAAGUCGGGUGUGAAAUUUCGGAGCUUAACUCCGAAACUGCAUUCGAUACUGCGGUGCUUGAGGACUGGAGAGGAGACUGGAAUUCAUGGUGUAGCAGUGAAAUGCGUAGAGACUCAUGAGGAAGACCAGUGGCGAAGGCGGGUCUCUGGACAGUUCCUGACGCUGAGGCACGAAGGCCAGGGGGAGCAAACGGGG